GGGCGGUUAGUUCAGCUGGUUAGAAUGCAUGAUUUACAUUCAUGAGGUCACAGGUUCAAGUCCUGUACCGCCCA
rnacentral:tRNA from 1 species